rnacentral:rRNA from 1 species
AUUGAACGCUGGCGGCAGGCCUAACACAUGCAAGUCGAACGGUAACAGGAAGCAGCUUGCUGCUUCGCUGACGAGUGGCGGACGGGUGCGUAAUGUCUGGGAAACUGCCUGAUGGAGGGGGAUAACUACUGGAAACGGUAGCUAAUACCGCAUAACGUCGCAAGACCAAAGAGGGGGACCUUAGGGCCUCUUGCCAUCGGCUGUGCCCAGAUGGGAUUAGCUAGUAGGUGGGGUAACGGCUCACCUAGGCGACGAUCCCUAGCUGGUCUGAGAGGAUGACCAGCCACACUGGAACUGAGACACGGUCCAGACUCCUACGGGAGGCAGCAGUGGGGAAUAUUGCACAAUGGGCGCAAGCCUGAUGCAGCCAUGCCGCGUGUAUGAAGAAGGCCUUCGGGUUGUAAAGUACUUUCAGCGGGGAGGAAGGGAGUAAAGUUAAUACCUUUGCUCAUUGACGUUACCCGCAGAAGAAGCACCGGCUAACUCCGUG